rnacentral:rRNA from 1 species
GAGUGAACGCUGGCGGUAGGCCUAACCCAUGCAAGUCGAACGGCAGCACAGUAAGAGCUUGCUCUUACGGGUGGCGAGUGGCGGACGGGUGAGGAAUACAUCGGAAUCUACUUUUUCGUGGGGGAUAACGUAGGGAAACUUACGCUAAUACCGCAUACGACCUACGGGUGAAAGCAGGGGAUCUUCGGACCUUGCGCGAUUGAAUGAGCCGAUGUCGGAUUAGCUAGUUGGCGGGGUAAAGGCCCACCAAGGCGACGAUCCGUAGCUGGUCUGAGAGGAUGAUCAGCCACACUGGAACUGAGACACGGUCCAGACUCCUACGGGAGGCAGCAGUGGGGAAUAUUGGACAAAGGGCGCAAGCCUGAUCCAGCCAUACCGCGUGGGUGAAGAAGGCCUUCGGGUUGUAAAGCCCUUUUGUUGGGAAAGAAAAGCAGCAGGUUAAUACCCCGCUGUUCUGACGGUACCCAAAGAAUAAGCACCGGCUAACUUCGUG